rnacentral:rRNA from 1 species
AUGGCGGCGGCAACGCUGCGUUGGGUGAUCCAGAUGCACCAGGACGUGCCGCGGGCUGCACGAUUCUACGCAGAAGGGCUGGACUUCAGUGUCAACGUCUGCACACUCCGUUUUGCAGAGCUCCAGUCAGGGCCGCUCAAGCUAGCGCUCAUGCACACAAAUGACAGUACCCUUGCAACGCAGAGAGCCUAUUCUUCGAUGCUGUCCUUCACCGUACCAGACAUAACCAGCACAGUAACAAAACUAAUGUCUCUCGGAGCGGAGUUGGACGGGCCGAUCAAAUACGAGAUCCAUGGGAAAGUUGCGGCCUUACGAUGCAUCGACGGCCACGUGCUAGGCCUGUACGAGCCAGCCUGA